GUUUUUGCUUGCUCGAUGCUGGUAUAUAAGACGUGACUGCUGAGGCAGGACAAUCACUCACUCAAGUGCCUCUAUCGACUGAACACUCCUCAACAUCAGCUCUGCAAUAUGAAGGUGAUGGGCGCAAUGUUGUUCCUUCUGGUGGCUCUGUUUGCCAUCUUGGGAUCCUCUGAGGCCAUGCCGGAGCCUGAAGCCGAUCCUGGCUUCCUCGGUGGUGGAUACUAUAGGCCUUAUUAUAGACCCAUCAUCAGCUAUGGCUAUGGAGGCUAUGGUGGUUAUGGAGGCUAUGGAUGGUAAAUGUUUCUCUUAAUGACGACGUCGAGAUUCUUCAGAUUCUUCAAAUGUUCCUGAAGCUACUUUGUAAAAAGGUUUCACAAUAAAUUAUAGAUAAAA